rnacentral:tRNA from 1 species
GCAGCGAUGGUCUAGCGGUCAAGAUGCUACACUAAUGUGUCUUGCAAACACAAGCAUGAAGGUGGCCUUCUCGAGGCCGUCCCCGGUCGGAGAGUGUCGGGUCACUGGAGCUGUAGAGGCGUGAGUUCGAAUCUCACUUGCUGCA